UACAGAGGUGGCAAGCGUUGUUCGGAAUUACUGGGCGUAAAGGGCGCGUAGGCGGUUCUGUAAGUCCCGCGUGAAAUCCCCCGGCUCAACUGGGGAACUGCGCGGGAAACUGUGGGGCUAGAGUUCAGGAGAGGGAAGCGGAAUUCCGGGUGUAGCGGUGAAAUGCGUAGAUAUCCGGAGGAACACCGGUGGCGAAGGCGGGUCUCUGGGCCGAUACUGACGCUGAGGAGCGAAAGCGUGGGGAGCGAACAGG
rnacentral:rRNA from 1 species